rnacentral:lncRNA from 1 species
CGGUCUUCCCCCCGGAUCCCCUUUCUUGUCAAACUCGCCGGGGACGCCGCCGCUUGCCGUUGCAACGCCAGCCAUUGGCACCGGCGGGAUCCGCCAGCCGUCGGUCCGGAUCGACGCUCACGCCUCCGGCUCCGACAUGCACGCCCGUUGAACGCCGUCGUGAACCACCUCGCUUCUCUGGUGCGCUCUUGCUCGUAGGUAGUUUCCUAGCUCGAUUGUAGCUCUUGCCGUCCCUUUAAUGGUGAUUCCUAGCGCCGGCGUGCAGGUACGUCUUGAACCAAGGUCGCCUUUCUCGGUUCCGUCGGCCGCUGUUGCGACGCCGCCGCGGUCAUCCUCCUCCCCGAGCAGCUCUAGGGGCCGUGACGGGCUCCGCGUCGUCGCGUCUCCUCUGGACCACGAACUCGAAGCCGUGGGUCCCUCCUACUUCUUCCUCGACCGCUGACCGCCAUUGACGCCGUCCGAAACUUGCUGCCGUCCGUCCUCUCGCCUCCCUGCUCCGUCCGACCCUGCCAGGAACAGCAAGGUGAGGAGCCAUCUCUUCCUGCUGCUGCUGCUGUCCGCUGUUGGCUUUCUUUGCCGCUUGCUGUUGUUGCGCUGCUGGAUGGUUGCUUUGCUGCUUGAUGCUGCCGGUUGUUUUGCUUGCCGCUGCUGCUUGCUUUUGUUGCUUGCUGCUGCUGGCCUUGAGCUACCGGUAAAUGAGAGAAAGAAAGGAAGUUUUACAUUUGUAGAGGGAUAUGGUCGUAUUUAGAUACACCUAGAAAUGGCCAUGUUUCACUACCGUUUAAUUUUGUUCGUCGUACUGUCAGACUAAGGCUAGUCUUUCCUGUGCAUAAAAGUUUCAGAAAAAUGCACAACCUGCUGAAAUUGGAAAAUCCAUAAAAAAAUCAUUCCAGUUUCUGUUUGGAGUAGUACUGAUAUGGAGUUGGCUGGUUUAAAUUGUACUGUAGCAACGGAAAAUAUGAACAUAGUCAAUAUUAUUACUUGGAUAGCUCAAGGGUGGAUGUUUCUAAUCCUGUACAUGGCACCUUGGACACAUUCUGCAAUGAAUUUUGAGGCCUGAAAUUGAUGUUUAAGAAAGUGUUAGAAUUUAAGGACACCUGCAUGCUAAAUCUAUCACAAAGCUACAGAAAAAAGUAGAUGAACAGAUUAUAUUCUUUUUGUUCAUAUAGAAGUAUCUACUGGCUUGAAAGACUCAUCCUGUAAUAGUAUAGAUAGUACAGAUACGAGGACUUCACUGAUGGCAAACUCAGCUCAAAUUUGGGUUGUUCAUAAAUCAUCAGAUACAUAGUUCCUUAUCCAUGUAUUUCUAACAAGAGAUUCUAUGCAACUGAAGUUUAAGUCAGUAUUUUUAUUGGUAUAUGAUAUUAGUUUUACCAUAUUAAAAAGCAUAUGCCUUAGAAAGAAAUAUGAAACCUUAGUAUUUUUGUUCUUCUUUACCAAGUCACUGUCCAAGCAUCUUCCUCCUGCAUAUGUUGGAAACUUCACGCUGACUCAUGUUAUUUCCAGCUUAAACAGGUGCAUCUUUGACCAAGUAUAGGACGGGCAAAUGUCGCGGAAGGAAUACUGAUGGUUUUUGAAGACUGACUAUGCUCCCUCGAGUACUGCGCAGCAACAAACUCAG